UUACGUAUUAUAAUGACUGAGCCUUGAAAUGGUUUUGAACGCAUUCGAAUACCCGCGAUAAAAGCGACUGUCGACAGACGUCAACGGGUUUUCCUGAUUCUGGUUAACAUCAAUAGAUGGCGCUACGAGUAUCAUUUUGUGCUUCAAAUCAAAACAAUGCACGGAGAGGGUAGAAAAGCAAUUACAUGUUUAUUGCAUAUUCAGCAGGAUUCUCGUUGUUGUCUUGAUUACAAUUUUCACUUGCCGGUUAACAAGUUUUACACCGCACUUUAUGUUUUGCAAAGAUAGUGGCAGUGAUAGCGGGCCCAUGGGACUCUAUAUUGCUAAACUGUGGGUGUGUACACCUGAGCCGAACCCUUCGUAACGUAUACUGUAUAAUGGUGAUGUACGCUAAGCUAAUAGACUGUUGGAGAUGAUAAUGGGAAUUGAUUAACUGUUGCCUUUGCUUCCUACUACCGUAGACGUAUUUUUGCGCAAGCAUUAGUAACGUAGAUCUUACGUAGCUAUAACUUAUAAUGGCUACAGCACCAGUAGUAAGGGUGUAAUAGGGGUGACCCGAGGUAUAAGACAUACAACACACGACAGAUAUCAACAGCAGCCUUUUUUACUAAGCAGGUUUAAUAGAUGACAUAAAAAACAUUUUUUUCUAGUGAUCCUCACUCACGCGCAAACCUUACUUGAAAUAACACACAACAUAAAAAUUCCAAUGUUUUUUUAUUCAAUCUUAUUAAUGAGAUCUAAAUUCAAAAUAGGUAUUCCCUCUCAUAAAAUGAACAGGGUUAACAUCUCGCUAACAGGAAAGAUAAUCGAUUAGUAGGUACACCUGUAUUCGAUUCCUUUUAACAGAAUCCGAGAUUUGAGUGCUUUAUUUUAGAGGUCCGUACUUUCCGCUCUUUUCAUGAAAAAAAUAUGCAAACUAAAACACUUGACGGCUUACUGAAAAAUGUAUUAUUUGUUAUGGAAUUUCAAUUUGGCCCUCACCUUGACUAGCUUUUAGAUUUUGUAAAUUCAUCAUUAUUUAAAAAAGCAAUUUUGCAGAUUACUUGUCAAGAAAUUUAAAUUCCUCUAUUGUUCCACUGAGAACGAUUAAUAAUAACCAUCUAUAUUGUAUAGGAACAUUUUUCCAUACCCGGAAACUUGUCUGUGCUUACUCUACCGUAACUAUGACCUAUAUUCUGCUACAGAAAAAGUGGUUAAGGAAUACGUGCUUAAUUAACAAAAAUAAAUUGCUUUGAAUAUGGAGUUCUGUUCUUUAGCCUCGUAAUAAAUCUUUUCUGUCGUCCCUAGAAUCGCAUCAACAGCAAGAUGGCUAACUUGACCUGACAACUAGAAAUUUUAAGAGAUACCAUUUACAAAAUUGCUCCACUAAAAGACUUGCUUAUGAAUAAUUUUGAUAAAAAACGUAGACUUCUUUUUCUUGGUCAAAAGUUAAAAAGUAAUCGAAAUUAUGUAAGUACUUUAUUCUGUCAUUGUACACGUAGAUAAUUACAUCAAGAAGGUCUAACUUUAGUGUACCCUCCAGUACUGUACCAGUACUUCAUCAACAAUUCAAAAGCAAUAUUUUCAGUUUCACAGUAAAGUUUCAGUCUUUCAUGUGCAAUUAAGUUAUUUAUGCAAAUUAACUUUGUGAAACCUCAUUUCGGAAGCAAAGGUGGUCAGAUAACGAAAAUCCAAUGAAGGGGUCGAAUGUCGUAGUGAAGUCAUACCGUCCUACUCUUGUGAUAUUAUAUUCAACAGACGACACCUCUGUUUUGACAAUGUGAAUUUCUCCGCAGGGAAAGCUGCGCCUCCUUUCUUUGCAACGAAAAUGAGAUUGAGGAAAUUAUUUCAUAGCUGUUUAUACGUAGGAACAAAGCCUCCCGGAUUUUAUGCGGAUAUCCUGUCUAAUAAAGCUAUAACGUCCUGUUAAAUACCUCUCGGCGGAUCUCUUUGCUUCAUAGGUAUCGGCGUAAAGGGAAACUCUCUUUGUAGUCGACGUUAUCGCAAAGACAAUGUAUUGGACGCAGAUGCAAGCUGAGUCGCGCUUAACUCAAACAUAUUUCAUAGAGCUCAAUAUAAGUUGGUACUGAAUAAGUUACUCAUCCUCCAACAAACUUAUCGUAAUUCGGAGUAUUUAUUACGUUGCAGAUAUGUUUUGGACAACAUUUUGUAGGAUCUGAUGGAACAGGAUUUUGUUGAGUAUGUAUGUUUUUGUAAAUAAAUAAGAUUCUUCCUCAAAAGCGGGAACUAUAUAUAUUAUAGAGAAGGGUCUUCGGAGGUCCGAUAUAAAGUGGGUUGGAGUUGUGUAUAAUGGUUACCGCUUUCUAUUAUUCUGAAAUAGCCAAGUGUAGUCAGAAAAGUUAUUACUGAUGCAAAACAUUUCCAUAUAGGUAGGCAAUUUUAUCAAAACGAGUGUCGCGUUGAUUAACGGAAAAUGUGUGUGUAUAAUUCGGUUUUAUCUGUUCGAAAUACAGAUUACAUUACGUCACGUACUGCGUCAUGAAAUAGAAUGUUUGAGUACAUACCGAACAUGGCCGGUCCCGAAAUGUCCGAUGUAAAUUCGCAUACUGGAUGAGGCGGGAAAUUGAGCCAAGUAAUAAAAUUAAAACAUUCUUGAUCUAAGUGCACAUAACUUUGCUAAUGACCUAAGUUCAGAACACUACUUGUGUCGACUAUAUUUUGGCAAACUCAAAGAGCAACUUGAAGAUCAGACAAACAGUACAAAAUAACAAUACUACCAACCUAGUUUCAUAAAACCUUUUAGAAUCAUUAAUUAAAAUCCAUUUGUAAGCAAAUUGGCACAUCAAAUACAAGGAAAUCUUUUGACGAGUGAGCAAAAUAUACAAUAUUAGAUCUGCUAAAUUCGUCCAGGGAAUAUUGAUACGGAAUAAUUGCACGGGCAAAGUGAGGCCUUGGGUAAACCUAUCCUGGGAUAAAAACAAAGUAAAGAUAAAUAUGUAAAAGAUAUUUCUUUUAAUAAAUAUCGGUGGCCUCGUGCUUCACGAUACUUUUAUUAGAUUUUUUGCAUAACGUUAUGUGGAUAUUAUCGGUAAAGAAUAAUCUUAGGUUCCUCAAAAUAUAUUUUGCUCUCCUCUACCCUCAGUUUAGCCGGAAAUUUUAGCCGUUAUUACAGCUGGCAACUUCUGAACUCCGAACUCUUGUCUAAUUUUCAUAAACCGUGGGUCUUGUACGAAUAAAAUUACUUUUAACUGGUUUGGCAAGUGGCGUCUUUAAAGAUAUCUGAAAUGGCUGUAAAUUAUUAAUUCUUCUUAAA